GUGGAGAUGAAGUUGGAGGAGGAGGAGGAAGAAAGGAGAGGACUGGGAAAGAGAAUGGAAGACUUUUCUUGGCAUGAUCAAAACAGAGCUCAAAGGGGUUCAUCCAGGAGCAGUAGAAGGAAAAUAAAAUCUACUGUGUUCUCUGGAUUCUAGUCCUGAUUGUCACCACUAAUUCUGUGACUCUGGGAGCCAUACCUGGAGGAAAAUGAUCAAAAGAUACAUGCAGUUCUCCACCUCAAGUCAAUGGUCCAGGCGUAUAAUCCAGGACUGGUAAAAUCCACUGCACAUCUGAAAGAUCAUAUGUAGCAUAAAAAAUACAUUGGAAAAUAGUAAUAUUUUAGAAAUAUAUUCAAAUUACUUAUGUGUAUC